GGGAUGAAGGCUUGAUCUGCUGUUUUUGUGCUCUUUGCUUUCUCUUACACUUGAAUGGGUGAAGUCUUGCCUGACUGUUUCAAAAGUUCUACCAAGCCUUGUAUGGCAACUAAAUCCCUAUCAGGAGAUGAUGGAUUAUAAACAGGCAGAAGCUGCAUCAUGCUAGAGGACUUGUGAUUACUGUUCAAAGGUGUUUCCUGUGGAAAGCCCAUCUGAGCCAUGCUCUGGAGUCUGCCCAAGCUUCAGUUUACUGGUCUCCAUGUGUUAGAAGGAUGCUUGAACAUCUAGUCAAUACUAUUUGGGUGUGUGCAGGAGAAUAUCCAGAUUUUUAUGGCCUUACAAUUUUGUUUUUUUUAAAGCAAAAUACUUCCAUUUAAAACAGCACAUGCUCGCUUUUAAGCCUGAAAAGCUCCUAGAGCAGUUUAGCAGCAAUGGGCUGCUGAGAUAUGCAACUCCUGCAAUUUCUGCUACACCUGCACUGAGCACACACUGAGGAACCUGGAUCUCCAUGGAGGCUGCAGGGUCUGCCCCCAGCCUGCCAUUCUAGAUGCUGUUCCAGUCAUUCCCACUCUUUUAGCAAGCCAGUCUCUGAUGGACCUGUGGUGGGACACACAACACAGAUGAGGUCUGGCAAUUACAGACUACUGAGGGGAGGGUCAAGAGCAAAUGUUCUCCUUCCCUGAGUCCAGGAUAUCCUCUGGAAGAUUCCUGACUCCUGCUUUAGAGUGUCUUGGCAACAAAACUGAUGUCUUAACAUCAUGACUUCAGGAGAGGUAACAUUAGUUAUGCACCCAUCAAGUGCUGAGAACCUGACAACAAAAUGCCAUCAUUCACCAUCGUUCCUUCCAUCAGAAAGGCAGUUUUGCUACUACUUGGAAGGUUUCACCUAAGAGGCACCAAAAUAACAACCCAUAAGCUCCUUCUGCAGAAUGAAUGCUUUCAGGGCUGUAUAUGACAAUCCUGCAGGCUUGGUGACCACAGGUGAAACUAUUGGCAACAGCUGAAUUGUGUCAGGUGGCACAGGAACUGGCUCCCAGGGGACAGAAAAGUGUAGUGUGGCACAGACCACACAGGAGCCAUCCCUCUCUCUCGACGCACUGCACAAACAAUUCAAAGAGGUGUAAGAAAAGGCUGUCCAACAAAAAGCACUGUAACUGCAUGUGUCUGUCUAGGGUUCCAUUCACAGUAGGCUGCAAAUACUUGACUGAAGCACUGUUCCUUUUGACACAACCAAUUUGUAAAGAGUGUUUCCCCAGAAUAUAUAUUUGUUCCCCAGGACAACAAAUAGAAGGAAAUACUCCAUUUUAUUUUCAACAGUUCAUUUCUGAGGUGUAAAAAGCCUGUCGCAAAAUAACAAAUAAACUAUA